GAUGAAGAACGUAGUGAAAUGCGAUACGUAAUGUGAAUUGCAGAAUUCAGUGAAUCAUCGAGUCUUUGAACGCACAUUGCGCCCCCUGGUGUUCCGGGGGGCAUGCCUGUCCGAGCGUCAUUGCUGCCCUCAAGCACGGCUUGUGUGUUGGGCCUCCGUCCUCCUCCCGGGGGACGGGCCCGAAAGGCAGCGGCGGCACCGCGUCCGGUCCUCGAGCGUAUGGGGCUUCGUCACCCGCUCUUGUAGGCCCGGCCGGCGCUUGCCGACACAUCAAUCUUUUUUCCAGGUUGACCUCGGAUCAGGUAGGGAUACCCGCUGAACUUAAGCAUAUCAAUAAGCGGAGGA
rnacentral:misc_RNA from 1 species